GGUAUUACGCCGGAAGAACGGGCUACUCUGAUGAGGUAGAUUAUAGGCCUUCACACCUUAAUACUU
rnacentral:tRNA from 1 species